AAGCUCCUGAUGAUGACGGGUGGGGGGACACAUCUCAGUGCGUGGUAUGACAGGGCCCAGUACCCACUCUCUCUUUGGGGGUGCCAAAACAGCCCUUCCCAUCCUUGCCGAACGCCAAGCCACUUCUGGUGCUGACAGGGUCAAGCACCCACGAGGUAGGGGAGCUUUAGAGCGAUGCAUCGCUACUGAUGCCGGCGGUCAGGCCCCGGAUGACGGUGUUGCGUCGGUGCGACCUGAAACAAUAAACACGCUUGCGCCAUCCAUGUGAAAGGCAGGGUGUCGGCGUGACUCGGACGCAUCGCACCCGGCCCUCACACUGCCCAUUGGUGGAGGGAAGGAGGGGAGCCUGAGGCACCGCGAGUCGAGGCUCGGCAGAGUUUGAGACAGAGGCCGCGCUCUCAGACGGCUGAGCCGGCGCACUGCUGUAGCGUAUGUGUUUACCGCUGCUUUGCACCACACGAGGUGGUGGGCCUAUGGCAGGCCGGGGAGGGGAGGGGAGUCGAAUCGACCUCGUGUUGUAUGGCAGAGAGCGGAGGCGCUAGAAAACAAAAGGUUGCAUAACAAACGCAUAAUCUUGCAUGUGUGUGUGGGGGGUGGGAUGCGCCGAUGUUCGCCUCUCCUCUCCUCUUCUUUCUCACAGCCAACCUUUUGUGUUUUCUCCCAUGCCCAAGUACGUGUUUGUGUUUGUGCGCGCCGGUCUGUAGCACAGCCUCAGCUACCAC
rnacentral:misc_RNA from 1 species